rnacentral:rRNA from 1 species
UACGGAGGGUGCGAGCGUUAUCCGGAAUUACUGGGUUUAAAGGGUCCGCAGGCGGUUUAAUAAGUCAGAGGUGAAAGGUUUCCGCUUAACGGGAGAAGCGCCUUUGAUACUGUUAGACUUGAGUUCGGGAGAGGUAGGCGGAAUGCGACAUGUAGCGGUGAAAUGCAUAGAUAUGUCGUAGAACACCGAUUGCGAAGGCAGCUUACUAUACCGAUACUGACGCUGAGGGACGAAAGCGUGGGGAGCGAACAGG